GAUAAAAUGAAUAAGAGCGUACGGUGAAUGCCUUGGCAUUGAGAGCUGAUGAAGGACGCAACUAACGGCGAUACGCUUCGGGGAGUCGUAAGUAGACAUCGAUCCGGAGAUUUCCGAAUGGGGCAACCCGAUUAUCUUCAUCGAUAAUCAUCUUCGAGAUGAAUUCAUAGUUUCGAAGAGGACAACGUAGGGAAUUGAAACAUCUUAGUACCUACAGGAAAAGAAAACAAAUUAGUGAUUCCCUUAGUAGUGGCGAGCGAACGGGGAAGAGCCCAAACCGACUUCGAGUCGGGGUUGUAGGACCAUAACAUGAGACCGGCGAGUUAGCUGAAGGAAUUGGAAAGUUCCACCAUAGAGAGUGAUAGUCUCGUAAGCGAAAACUCUAAAGGCUCUAUUGGUAUCCUGAGUACGGCGGGGCACGUGAAACCUUGUCGGAAUCUGCCUGGACCAUCAGGCAAGGCUAAAUACUCCUCAAUGACCGAUAGUGAACCAGUACCGUGAGGGAAAGGUGAAAAGAACCGCUGGCGCGGAGUGAAAUAGACCCUGAAACCGUAUGCUUACAAGAAGUCAGAGCCCUAGCCAUGACCAGGUUGAAGUUUGGGUGAAACCAAAUGGAGGACCGAACCAACCAUCGUUGAAAAGCUGGUGGAUGAGUUGUGGCUAGCGGAGAAAUUCCAAUCGAACACGGCGAUAGCUGGUUCUCCCCGAAAUAGCUUUAGGGCUAGCGUCGGAGUAAAGAUAUUGGCAGGUAGAGCACUGAAUUCAUGAUGGCCCCAUCCCGGGGUACUGAUUGGAAUCAAACUCCGAAUGGUCAAUAUUGUUUUCCGGCAGUCAGACUGCGAGUGAUAAGGUCCGUGGUCAAAAGGGAAACAGCCCAGAUCAUCGGUUAAGGUCCCAAAAUCUAUGCUAAGUGGAAAAGGAUGUGGGGAUGCGUGGACAGCUAGGAGGUUGGCUCAGAAGCAGCCACCCUUCAAAGAGUGCGUAACAGCUCACUAGUCGAGUGCCCCUGCGCCGAAAAUUUACCGGGGCUAAGCAUAGUACCGAAACCAUGGAUUUGUACCUAGUACAAGUGGUAGGGGAGCGUUCCUGUUGCAUUGAAGGUAUACCGUAAGGAGUGCUGGAGCGGCAGGAAGUGAGAAUGCCGGUGUGAGUAACGAGAUGCAGGUGAGAAUCCUGCACACCGAUUGACUAAGGUUUCCAGGGCAAGGGUCGUCCUCCCUGGGUAAGUCGGGACCUAAGGCGAGGCCGAAAGGCGUAGUCGAUGGACAACAGGUUGAUAUUCCUGUACCCGUAUGCGUAAUGAUGGAGUGACAGAUGGGGAAGAUGAGAGCCCCUUAUCGGAUUGGAGUUUAAGCGUAGCAGAUGUCUAAUAGGCAA
rnacentral:ncRNA from 1 species